UGAUUGUUCGAACACGUUAUUUAUUUAUUGACUAACAACGAGCGGAGCUCGACAGCACCGAAUUAAAAACGUAGAAACGAACGUUUAAGGAACCCUAAAAUGUUUGAAGCUUUGCACCGAGAGAAUAUGAGAACGAUAAUGAUUGAGGCCGGUGGGUAGGCGUACGUUUUUCGUUAGGAACGGACGGUAUAACUGAACCCAUUAUUGCGUAUUUGUCGGUGAACGUAGAGC